CAGCAGCCGCGGUAAGACGAACCGUGCAAACGUUACUCGGAAUCACUGGGCUUAAAGCGCACGUAGGCGGCGACAUAAGUUAGAGGUGAAAUCCCAUCGGCUCAACCGUGGAACUGCCUCUAAUACUGUGUUGCUUGAGGGAGAACGGGGCAUUCGGAACUUCCGGUGGAGCGGUGAAAUGUGUUGAUAUCGGAAGGAACGCCGGUGGCGAAAGCGGAAUGCUGGGUCUCUUCUGACGCUGAGGUGCGAAAGCUAGGGUAGCGAACGGGAUUAGAUACCCCAGUAGUCCCUGUCUCUUAUA
rnacentral:rRNA from 1 species